GCAGUCGAGCGGGGAAGAGUAGCUUGCUACUUGACCUAGCGGCGGACGGGUGAGUAAUGCUUAGGAAUCUGCCUAUUAGUGGGGGACAACAUCUCGAAAGGGAUGCUAAUACCGCAUACGUCCUACGGGAGAAAGCAGGGGACCUUCGGGCCUUGCGCUAAUAGAUGAGCCUAAGUCGGAUUAGCUAGUUGGUGGGGUAAAGGCCUACCAAGGCGACGAUCUGUAGCGGGUCUGAGAGGAUGAUCCGCCACACUGGGACUGAGACACGGCCCAGACUCCUACGGGAGGCAGCAGUGGGGAAUAUUGGACAAUGGGGGGAACCCUGAUCCAGCCAUGCCGCGUGUGUGAAGAAGGCCUUUUGGUUGUAAAGCACUUUAAGCGAGGAGGAGGCUACCGAGAUUAAUACUCUUGGAUAGUGGACGUUACUCGCAGAAUAAGCACCGGCUAACUCUGUGCCAGCAGCCGCGGUAAUACAGAGGGUGCAAGCGUUAAUCGGAUUUACUGGGCGUAAAGCGCGCGUAGGUGGCCAAUUAAGUCAAAUGUGAAAUCCCCGAGCUUAACUUGGGAAUUGCAUUCGAUACUGGUUGGCUAGAGUAUGGGAGAGGAUGGUAGAAUUCCAGGUGUAGCGGUGAAAUGCGUAGAGAUCUGGAGGAAUACCGAUGGCGAAGGCAGCCAUCUGGCCUAAUACUGACACUGAGGUGCGAAAGCAUGGGGAGCAAACAGGAUUAGAUACCCUGGUAGUCCAUGCCGUANACGAUGUCUACUAGCCGUUGGGGCCUUUGAGGCUUUAGUGGCGCAGCUAACGCGAUAAGUAGACCGCCUGGGGAGU
rnacentral:rRNA from 1 species